rnacentral:rRNA from 1 species
GACGAACGCUGGCGGCGUGCUUAACACAUGCAAGUCGAACGGAAAGGCCCUGCUUUUGUGGGGUGCUCGAGUGGCGAACGGGUGAGUAACACGUGAGUAACCUGCCCUUGACUUUGGGAUAACUUCAGGAAACUGGGGCUAAUACCGGAUAGGAGCUCCUGCUGCAUGGUGGGGGUUGGAAAGUUUCGGCGGUUGGGGAUGGACUCGCGGCUUAUCAGCGAGUUGGUGGGGUAGUGGCUUACCAAGGCUUUGACGGGUAGCCGGCCUGAGAGGGUGACCAGCGAGAAUGGGACGGAGACAGGGGCCAGACUGCGAAGGGAGGCAGCAGUGGGGAAUAUUGGACAAUGGGCGAAAGCCUGAUCCAGCAAUGCCGCGUGAGUGAGGAAGGCCUUAGGGUUGUAAAGCCCUGUGACCCGGGAUGAGAGGGACAGUAAUGGGAGAAUAAGAUCCGGCUAACUCCGUG